rnacentral:rRNA from 2 species
ACAACUUUUAACAACAGAUCUCUUAGUUCUAGCAUUAAUAAAGAACGCAGCGAAAUGCGAUAAGUAGUGUGAAUUAUAGAAUUUAGUAAAUUAUUAAAUCUUUAAACGCACAUUACGCCCCUUAGUAUUCUAUAGGGCAUGCCUGUUUAAGCGUUAUUUGUACCCUUAAGCUCUACUUAGUGUUAGGUAUUUAUUCUACUUAGGACUUGCCUUAAAACAAUUGGUAGCUAGCAUAUUAGCCUAGAGCGCAGCACAUUUUACGCCUCUUAUUAUAGUUGUUAGCAUCUAUUAAGACACUUUUUAAGCUCUUAACCUUAGAUUAGGUAGGGAUACCCACUAAACUUAAGCAUAUUAAUAAGUGGAGGAAAAGAAACUAAUAGGGAUUGCCCUAGUAACAGCGAGUGAAGCGGCAAUAGCUUAAAUUUGAAAUCUAGCUCUUUUAGGGUCUAAGUUGUAAUUUGCAGAGGGCGCUUUAGCGUUAGUAGUAGUCUAAGUUCCUUAGAAUAGGACGUUAUAGAGGGUAAGAAUCCUAUACGUAGUUGCUAGCCUUUGCUGUGUAAAGCCCCUUUAACAAGUUAAGUUAUUUAGGAAUAUAGCUCUAAAUAGGAGGUAAAUUUCUUCUAAAGCUAAAUACUAGCUAGAGACUAAUAGCGUACAAGUAGAGUAAUUAAAAGAUAAAAAGCACUUUAGAAAGAGAGUUAAAUAGCACGUGAAAUUGUUAAAAGGGAAGCGCUUGCAGCUAGACUUGCCUGUAGUUGCUUAUCUAGGCUUUUAUCUAGUGCACUCUUCUAUAGGCAGGCUAGUAUUAGUUUAGGUAGUUAGAUAAAGGUCUCUAUUACGUACCUCCCUUUAGGGAGGCCUUAUAGGGGAGACGACAUGCAACUAGCCUAGACUAAGGUCCGCGUAUCUGCUAGGAUGCUAGCGUAAUAGCUGUAAGUGGCCUGUCUUAAAAUAUAGACUAAGGAGUCUAAUAUCUAUGCAAGUGUUUAGGUGUUAAGCCUAAACGCGUAAUAAAAGUAAACAGAGGUAGGACCCCUUUUAGGGUGCACUAUUAACUAAUCCUAAUAUCUUUAGAAGGAUUUAAGUAAGAGUAUAGCUAUUAGGACCUAAAAGAUAGUAAACUAUGCUUAAAUAGGGUAAAGCUAGAGGAAACUCUAGUAGAGGCUCACAGCAGUUCUAACGUGCAAAUCAAUUGUUAAAUUUAGGUAUAGGGGCGAAAGACUAAUUAAACUAUCUAGUAGCUAGUUCCUACUAAAGUUUCCCUUAGGAUAGCAGUAACGUAUUUAGUUUUAUAAGGUAAAGCAAAUAAUUAGAGGCCUAGGGGUUAAAAUAACCUUUACCUAUUCUUAAACUUUAAAUAUAUAAGAAGUCCUUAUUACUUAAUUAAAUAUAGACACUUAAAUAUACUAUUACUAGUAGGCUAUUUUUAGUAAGCAGAACUAGCAAUAUAGGAUAAACUAAACGCGGGGUUAAGGUGCUAGAAUACACGCUUAUUAGAUACUAUAAAAGGUGUUAGUUUAUCUAGAUAGUAGGAUAGUAGCUAUAGAAGUUAGAAUCUGCUAAGGAGUGUGUAACAACUUACCUGCUAAAUAAACUAGCCCUAAAAAUAGAUAGCGCUUAAGCGUGUUACCUAUACCCUGCCACUAGGGCAAGAUUUAAGCCCUAGCAAGUAGGCAGGCGUAGAGGCUCGUGACAAAGCCUUAGGGGUAACCCUAGGUAGAACAGCCUCUAGUGCAGAUCUUAGUAGUAGUAGCAAAUACUUAAAUAAGAACUUUAAGGACUAAAGUAGGGAAAGGUUCUAUGUAAACAGCAGUUAGACACAGGUUAGUUAAUCCUAAGAGAUAGGGUAAUUCUAUUUUAAUAUUAGCGCUUACGCUGCGCCCUUAAAAGGGAAGCUAGUUAAUAUUCUAGCACCUAGAUAUAGAUUCUCUGCGGCAACGCAACUAAGAGCAGAGACCUUAGCAGGAGCCCUAAGAAGAGUUCUCUUUUCUUCUUAACAGUCUAUUACCCUAAAAUUAGUUUGUCUAGAGCUAGGGUUUAAUAGCUAGAAGAGCGCUAUACUUUUGCAGCAUUUAGUGCGCUCCUAAUAAGCCUUAAAAAUCCGCUUAAAGAAAUAGUUUUUACGCUAGGUCGUACUUAUAACUAUAGCAGGUCUCUAAGGUAAAAAGCCUCUAGUUAAUAGAAUAAUGUAGAUAAGGGAAGUUAGCAAAAUAGAUCUAUAACUUUAGGAAAAGGAUUAGCUCUAAGGGUUAGGUACGUUAGGCCUUAGGGAGAAGCCUCUAGCGUAGAAGGGCACUAACUGUAAGGUAGGCGCCUCUUAGUGCUAGAGUGCAGACACCCUUAGCAGGUUUUAGCUGUCUAGCGUACGUUUAACAACUAACUUAGAACUAGUAUAGAUAAGGGGAAUCUAACUAUCUAAUUAAAACAUAGCAUUACAAUAGCUAGAAAGUAGUGUUAAUAUAAUAUAAUUUCUGCCUAGUGCUCUAAAUAUUAAAGCAAAGAGAUUUAACCAAGCGCGGGUAAAUAGUAGGAGUAACUAUAACUCUCUUAAGGUAGCUAAAUACCUUGUUAUCUAAUUAGUAACGCGCAUAAAUAGAUUAACAAGAUUCCUACUAUCCCUAUCUACUAUCUAGCGAAACUAUAGCUAAGGGAACAGGCUUAGCUAAAUUAGCAGGGAAAGAAGACCCUAUUAAGCUUAACUCUAGUUUAAUAUUGUGAAAAGACAUAGGGGGUGUAGAAUAGGUAGGAGCUUUAGCGCUAGUAAAAUACUACUACCCUUAUUAUUUUUUUACUUAUUUAAUAAAGCAGAGCUAGGCCUUACUACCUAACUUCUAGCGUUUAAGGUCCUUUAUAGGCUAAUCUAGGUUAAAGAUAUUAUUAGGUAGGGAGUUUAGCUAGGGCGGCACAUCUAUUAAACUAUAACAUAGGUGUCCUAAGGGGGACUUAUAGAGAAUAGAAAUCUCUAGUAGAGUAAAAGGGUAAAAGUCCCCUUAAUUUUAAUUUUUAGUGUGAAUAGAAACUAUAAAAGUGUAGCCUAUUAAUCCUUUAGUGCCUUAAAAUUUAAGGCUAGAGGUGCUAGAAAAGUUACUAUAGGGAUAACUAGCUUGUGGCAGCUAAGCGUUCAUAGCGACGUUGCUUUUUAAUCCUUUAAUAUUAGCUCUUCCUAUUAUAGUAAAGCAGAAUUUAGUAAGCGUUAGAUUAUUCACCUACUAAUAGGGAACGUAAGCUAGGUUUAGACUGUUGUAAGACAGGUUAGUUUUACCCUACUAAUAACCUUACCCUAAUAGUAAUACUACUUAGUACGAGAGGAACCGCGGUUUUAGAUAAUUAGUUUUUGCAGCUAUCUAACUAGGUAUUGCUGCAAAGCUACUAUCUACUAGAUUAUAGCUAAACGCCUCUAAGUUAGAAUCCAUGCUAGAAUAGGGUGAUUUCCGCCUGCACUAGUUAGAUACAAAUAGGCCUUUGGCCUAGAACCUUACUAGAUUGGCGUUAGUAGCCCUAUUAAAGUUAGAGUUGUUAGCUAGUAUAUUGCAAUUAUACAGUGCGUUAGAU